UGUAAAUCGAAACUACGUAGGGAUAAUUUUUGUCUUCUUUUUCUUUUCCAGAAACUUCUUAGUAGCAUUCCAUUUUCCAUUUCUUUCUUCAAAUCACUCUCUCUCAAGUAAAAAUCCAAGCUUUAGAAGAACAAUCCACACUUCUGUUAUUUGUCUUUUACUUUAUCAAAUCCUAAAGUGUAACAUGUUUGCUUUUAAAGUCAAGUUGCUUUCGCCAAAACCUCCUAGACAAAAGCUCUGGCCAAAGACCCCAAGAAGAAAGACAAGAAAGAGCUGGUGAGUUGUUCAAGAAAGGUGAACGAUUUUUUUUAAUAUUAUUUUGACUUUUUUAAAUUUUUUUGCUUUUUUCUGUUCUGAUAUCAUAGAAUUGAUCUUUUAUUUGAGCUUUCAAUCUAUAAUAAAAGAAUAUAUAUAUAUAUAUAUUAAUUUUUGCUUUGUUCAUCCAAAUGCUUUUAAACUUGCAUGCAUCAAACCUUGGAAAGUACAAACCUCGACAAGCUCUUCGAACAAAUUCGAAGGAAUGAAGAUUCGUUUCCAAGACGCCGAUGAUGAGGAAGUUGUCACCAACAGCUCCAAUAUUUGAUGAGUCAAUCGUUGCCGUUAAUAAAGCUACUGAAGAUGUCACCAUGGGAGAAUCCGACAUCUCCUUUGUUGAUUACGAUGGCGAUGAUGAUAAAACCAGUGCUGAUUAUUACUUUGAUUCGUACUCUCGCUUCAGGCUGAGCUUAAAAAGGCCAGAGGUAUGCCCUUUCAUUAUGAGAAAAUCUGCCAAUGGAUGACUCAAUUGCUAUUGGCUGUGGACUACCUACACUCAAACUGUUUUCUUCAUAGGGAUCUGAAGGGAGUGUACUUGCCUCAAAAGCUACUCCUGAGAGUUGGAUUAAGAUGGUGAACUCAAUGCAAGAGGGGUCUUUGUCCACCUGUCUUGGGAUUCCCAUGAUAUAUGGGAUUGAUGCAGUUCACAGCCACAACAAUGUAUAUAAAGCCACUAUUUUUCCUCAUAACAUUGGUCUUAGAGUGACCGGGCAAAUUAUAUAUCUGGAGGCAAACAUGUUCUUUGAAUUUUUUAUCAUUCAAGGUUAUACAUUUUGCCUGAGGUGUGGACUUUCAAUUUUGAUUUGUCAUAUAGAAAGCUGUUAUCCUAUCUUGUGUAAAGUGUCUUUGAGAUUCAUAUCACUUGACCUGCAUUGACUGGUAUGGUACAUAAUUUAGAGGAUGAAAUUUUGGGUAAUUGCAAAUUGCAUUGUCUUUAAAAUAAUCGAACGAUGUUCCCAUGAAUUUGGCAUUCAAAGGGGUGAUUAUUAUUAAAUUGUUGUUUACUUUAGAAUUUGAUCACUUAGCCUUUUGGUUUCCUAUGAUCUUUCCGUAACUUUAGAGAACAUCUGAUUAAUUGUGAUGGUUUUCUUUAGCCCUCAUGUUCGGGUGCUUGAUUAGUUUUUCUUAUUUUUAUAUAAUUUUGUGUUUUGUAUAUAUAUUUUUUGUUGUUGUCCUAUUUUUCUUGGAUAUGUGAAUCUCAAGCCUUUCGCCGGGUGUGGCAUAUGGGUCUAAGGGUGAUAUAGUUACUGUUUUCUGUUAGUACAAGAUAUUCUACUUUUUCUAGUGUCUCAUAUGGUUCUGAAAGCUUUAGCAAUUACAGGGUUGGUAAAUGACAAAGAAAUAGGUGAAAGAUGAAAUUUUAAGUAACUUUUUUGUUUAGUUUUGAUAGGAAUUUUGGUCCAAAAGCUGCGUGUUAUAAUUUUCAUCAAAGCUUUAGCUAUGAAACCAAAAGUAUUAUUGGUAAAAAUUAAAUCUUCAAGAAUUUAAUGUUAUAGCUAAAAAAUUGGGAAAAACAAAUAAUGCGGCUUGAAGUCUGUUGUUGUAAUGCUAUUCUACUUUGAAAAUAAGAUGUUUAUAAUCAAUAGAAUUACGAAAAGGACCUGAGGAUCCUUUUCACUGGGAUAUUAGACAUGAAAGAAAAGAGAAAUGGAAAGUUUUUCAUGAAUUUUUGAAAGAAAAGAGAAAUAGGAAAUGUUUGAGACAUCACUACUUAAGAUUGCGAAUUGUUGCCAACUAUAAUUUUUGGUACUUUUUUAGCUCACUUUCUAAUGGGCAUUAUUUUUUGGUGGCAAAGCUAAAUACAUUCUAGACAGUGAUACAUAUAUUGGAUAGAGAGUUCAUGUUGAAAGGAAAAGGGUACCAAACAAAGAA